UAGGGAAUCUUCGGCAAUGGACGAAAGUCUGACCGAGCAACGCCGCGUGAGUGAAGAAGGUCUUCGGAUCGUAAAACUCUGUUGUUAGAGAAGAACAAGGACGUUAGUAACUGAACGUCCCCUGACGGUAUCUAACCAGAAAGCCACGGCUAACUACGUGCCAGCAGCCGCGGUACUACGUAGGUGGCAAGAGUUGUCCGGAUUUAUUGGGCGUAAAGCGAGCGCAGGCGGUUUCUUAAGUCUGAUGUGAAAGCCCCCGGCUCAACCGGGGAGGGUCAUUGGAAACUGGGAGACUUUAGUGCAGAAGAGGAGAGUGGAAUUCCAUGUGUAGCGGUGAAAUGCGUAGAUAUAUGGAGGAACACCAGUGGCGAAGGCGGCUCUCUGGUCUGUAACUGACGCUGAGGCUCGAAAGCGUGGGGAGCAAACAGG
rnacentral:rRNA from 1 species